UUGUGGAGGAGGACGCCGAAGGUGGGGCUAAUGACUGGGGUGAAGUCGUAACAAGGUAGCCGUACCGGAAGGUGCGGCUGGAUCACCUCCUAACAGGGAGACAACAAAAUGUUUAAUAUUAUUAUUUUGUCACCUUAGGUCGAUCGGUAUCUCACGUUUUUAAUUUAUUAAAAAUUUCAUUUCCUAAGUUUUUCUAGGUCACACCCAUUAUUUUUCCUGGGCCAUUAGCUCAGGUGGUUAGAGCGCACCCCUGAUAAGGGUGAGGUCCCUGGUUCAAGUCCAGGAUGGCCCAUAUCUCUAUGUUGGGGGUAUAGCUCAGUUGGUAGAGCGCCUGCUUUGCAAGCAGGAUGUCAGCGGUUCGAGUCCGCUUACCUCCACUGAUUACCACCUCUUCCAUAACAGGUAGAAAGGGAAUGUUUUGAGUAGUGAUCAAAUUCUGAAAGAAUCUAGCUUCCUAAUGAAAUCAUUAAGAUGCUGGACUCAUUGAAUUAAUUUCAUUGUUUUCAGAGAACCUUGACAACUGCAUAGAUUAUUUUUAAAAGACAAUAAGCAUCUUUAAUGAUGCAGAUUUAUUAUUUGUGCGAAUGCAUUAAUAACAAUUCUAUUAAGCUGAUGCUUCAAUUUUGAAGUUAUUGGUCAAGCUACAA
rnacentral:misc_RNA from 1 species